rnacentral:rRNA from 1 species
UACGCAGGGUGCAAGCGUUGUCCGGAAUUAUUGGGCGUAAAGAGCUCGUAGGCGGUUUGUCGCGUCUGCUGUGAAAUCUGGGGGCUCAACCCCCAGCCUGCAGUGGGUACGGGCAGACUAGAGUGCGGUAGGGGAGAUUGGAAUUCCUGGUGUAGCGGUGGAAUGCGCAGAUAUCAGGAGGAACACCGAUGGCGAAGGCAGAUCUCUGGGCCGUAACUGACGCUGAGGAGCGAAAGCAUGGGGAGCGAACAGG